rnacentral:tRNA from 1 species
GUGGGUAUGGCUCAGUGAUAGAGCUCAUGCUUAGCAUGCACAAGGUCCUGGGUUUAAUCCCCAGUACCUCUG